ACGAAAAUUGAUGUCUUCUUGAAUAUAAGUCGAUAAAACAGUUCGAUAUGUUUGAUGAUAUCAACAAUUUGGUUAAUUUCAAGGAAUAUAAUAUAAAAGAAGAAAAUUUAAGAAUUUAAAAUUAUGAAUAUUGGAAUUUUUCGUGGUAUACGCUUUAAUUUUAUUGGUAUAUCAGCCAUGUCUACAUGGAUAUCCGCAGACGAACGUAUGUUAAAAAUAAUAAGGAAGAUAGUACCAAAUUUGACCAAUACUAAAUAUAAAGGUCAAGAUGGAAGAAUAGGAAUAUUCGGUGGUAGCUCGGAUUAUACUGGAGCACCAUAUUUCACGGCAAUGAGUGCUCUUAGAACUGGCGCAGAUUUAGUGCAUAUAUUUUGUGUAAAAGAUGCUAGUACACCUAUUAAAUCUUUUAGCCCAGAACCAAUUGUACAUCCGGUUUUGGAUCAAUACGAUGCUAUGAAACAUAUAAAGCCCUGGUUGGAUCGUUUGCAUAUUAUUAUCAUUGGGCCAGGACUUGGAAGAGAUGAUAAGAUUCUUAAAGUCAUAGUUGAAUUGAUUUCUAUCUGCCGUGAAUUAAAAAAACCAUUGAUAAUAGACGCAGAUGGAUUAUUCUUAAUAUUUCAAAAACCUGACAUAAUCAAGGAUUAUCCAGAUCUAAUACUUACACCUAAUGCUAUGGAAUUUAGUCGAUUAGCUAAGUCUGUAUUAAAAAAAUCGAUUCAACCUUCUCCAAUGGUUAAGCCUGCGGAUGUAAAAGAAUUGGCGGAUACUCUUGGAAAGAAUGUUGUCAUUUUACAUAAAGGAGCAAAAGAUAUUAUAGCGGAUGGACAUGAAGGCACUGAAACUAUAUCAUGUGGCAUGGCUGGUUCCGGACGACGAUGCGGUGGUCAAGGAGAUCUUUUAGUUGGAUCCGUAGCUGUUUUUUGGUGGUGGGCCAUUUGUGGUGUAACUUGUGAUUCCACUAUAUCACCUUCGGUAUUAGCAUGUUACGCAGGAUCAAGAUUAAUUAGAGAAUGUAAUUCAGCUGCAUAUAAAAUUAAACAAAGAGCCACUUUGACAAGUGAUAUGUUGGAACAAAUACAAAAUGUUUUUGCUAGAAUUUUUGAAACUCAUGGCAACAAAACUUCGUCAUUCAAUGGGAGAAAUCGAUUAUUGCAAAAUGUUGAUAAUUAAAAACAUUGGAUCAUGUUUAAAUGAAAUUUUUAGAAUACACGAGAUAUAGUAUACUAAAGAAUAUUAAUAAAUAUAAUGUUAUUUUAUGACAAAUUAUAUCAUAUGCAUGCAUUUAGCAUUGUUAAUAUCUUAGAUAUGGAAAAGUUAUAAAUAAUAAGAUUGUCAAUAAAAUAUUUUGUACAUUUUAUACUCUAAGAGUAUUUAAGGAACGAAAUAAGAUCAGUACAUUGGUAAUUAAAUUUUUAAAGAGAAAUCUACUUAUAUAUUCAUAAUAAUGAUAAUAUUGGUAAUAAUAAAAAUAUUUUUUUUUUCUUUUUCUUGUUUAUACAAAACUUUUAGAUUUUGCAUGAUCAUACAAGAAUUAUAGAAAUUUAAUGGUCACCCGUACAUAAAUAUUAAGAAGAGAAAAAUUUGUCAUACAACAACAUUUAUGUGAUUUAUCACAAGAAAUACAUAUCUAAUAUCAUUUGUAAGAAUGAUGCUGUAGAUUUCAGCCAUGAUAUUUUUAAAAAUGUACAUUGAUCUCCUUCCAAGAGUUCACUCUCUUUUGUGCGUAAGAUUAAUAAUAAUAAUAAUAAUAAUAAUAAUAAUAAUAAUAAUAAUAAUGAGUACGUAUGAUAUAUAAAAAGGAGAAGAGGUAAAAAGAGAUGUGCAACUUGCACAUCGUUAAAAGAGAGAUUUGGCAUUAAUAUCUUAAAAAAUACUGCCUAUUUAUGUCAAGUAUGAUGCCCGCUAAAAUUUCUUUUUCGAACAUCAUUCAAUUUAAGCCAUUAAUAAUACUAAUAUCAAUAACCUAAUUUAUCAUUUAUAGACUACGAAUAAAAUGUCAGUACCGAAAUAUGAUUUCCCCUUAUUAAAAGAGUUGGUGGCAUGUCACGAGUUAAUGCUUCUAACCAUGCCAUGUAUAAGGGUGCUGACACUGCACCUUUUCUUGGCAUUGGUAAUGACCUGUAAAUUAUAUUAAAUUUAAUUAAUUAUUAUCCUCUUUUAGACAAUAUCACCAUCGGACUAAAACUAUCAUGAAUAAUAACGUACAUUACUACUAAUGUGGAUUGACUUGAAUUCUCCAAAAGUAAUUCUCGAAGUCUCAAUUGUCGAUUAGUUUUGUCUCGUAAUGUUUGUAAUUCAAGAUCAGUGACGCAGCAAUCUAGAAAAAAAGAUUUCAUUGAUGAUUUCGCUAGAUAAUCAUUUUAUUUAUGAUUAUAUAUAUAUAUGAUAAAUGAUCAAACCUGAAUUAUCGGUAGGAUCAUUUCUUUGAAAAUCAGAUAUAAGUUUAUCAAAGAAAUUUUUUGUAUCCUGUCGGGGAGCAAUACUGAUAUCAUCUACCAUUUUUAAACUCGUAUAUUUGAUUCGAAAUUUAGCCAUGAUUUCAGCCAUUCUGUAGAUAAAACAAAUCUUUGAAGCAAAAAUAUAAAAAAGACGGAUUAGUAUAAGUAUUGAAAAAAAAAAAAAGAAAAAAAAAUCUUACUCCUUCUCUUGAGCCUCAAUCUCUUGUUUGUGAUUGGCCAAAGCAAAGAUUCUCAUCUUACAAUGUUCCCAAUUAGAACGUGUACUGAUAAUAUAUGGCAAAAGAAUUGUCAAACCUAAUGAAAUGGAACAGAAUUGCAUAGAGUAUAAAGAAUGAUCUUUCAUAAUUUAAUAAUGAAUAUUUAUUUCUUGGAUUACCUCCAUCAUCGUAAAGCCACCAUACGUCAAUUACUCCUUUCUUAUGUUUUUUUUGGAAAAUUGUCAUGUGUUCUGGCAACACUGGCAUUCCAUUUCGUUUUUCACUAAAAUAUGAAGAAAUCAUGCUGUAUAAUAUAACAUGUGUGUGCGCGCGCGUGCUCGCAUACUGUUUGUGUAUACUUUUCUUUUUUUUUUUUUUUUUUCCCCUGAAAAUAUUUGAAAUUCACGAUAACAAAUAUUUGAAACUUACGAAAGUAAUUUAUCAGUAGCUUGUUUUUUCUUCUGUUUAAUAUGGUCACGUGCAUUCCAAUGAGUAGGAGAUUCUCUAAUUAUAUUUGGUCCCUCCACUAUAGUAAAUUGUGUUCCUACUCAUAGAUACAAUGAAAAUAUUGAUAAUUAUAUUGUUCAAUGUAAUAUUUAAAU